rnacentral:rRNA from 1 species
GAGUUUGAUCAUGGCUCAGAGCGAACGCUGGCGGCAGGCCUAAUACAUGCAAGUCGAGCGGUCACUUCGGUGGCAGCGGCGGACGGGUGAGUAACGCGUGGGAACGUGCCCUUUGGUUCGGAACAACACAGGGAAACUUGUGCUAAUACCGAAUGUGCCCUUCGGGGGAAAGAUUUAUCGCCAUUGGAGCGGCCCGCGUUGGAUUAGCUAGUUGGUGGGGUAAAGGCCCACCAAGGCGACGAUCCAUAGCUGGUCUGAGAGGAUGAUCAGCCACACUGGGACUGAGACACGGCCCAGACUCCUACGGGAGGCAGCAGUAGGGAAUC